rnacentral:rRNA from 1 species
CUAUUAUGAUAAUAUAUUUAUAUAUUAUCGGGUUACGACGGCAUACAAAAUAUUACAUGAAGUAGAUUACCUUGGUGGUUAUCAAUUAUUUGGUAAGUUCCCCUAAAUUUUAAAAUUACCGUCAUGCUAUUUGAGUUUUAAUCAAGAAGAUUUUAGUCCUCAGUAUUUUAAAAUGGAUAUUGUAUAAAAGGGUAUCUAAUCCUUGUUUAUGAUCAAUAUUUUAAAAUAUAUUAGAUUAUAUAAGAUUAUAAAUGCUAUUUCACCAAAUAUUGACAUAUAAGCUUUAUAUACAUUAUAUAGUKUAUKACUAUAAAAGUCUGACCGCGACUGCUGGCACUUUUUUAGUCAUAGUAUUCAUAAUUGGUUUAUUCUUACUUUCGUAAAUUUGUAAAUGUUCUUUCCUGGUAAAGAUCUUUU